rnacentral:rRNA from 1 species
GGUUAAGUUAGAAAGGGCGCACGGUGGAUGCCUUGACACUAGGAGUCGAUGAAGGACGGGACUAACGCCGAUAUGCUUCGGGGAGCUGUAAGUAAGCUUUGAUCCGAAGAUUUCCGAAUGGGGAAACCCACUAUACGUAAUGGUAUGGUAUCCUUACCUGAAUACAUAGGGUAUGGAAGACAGACCCAGGGAACUGAAACAUCUAAGUACCUGGAGGAAGAGAAAGCAAAUGCGAUUUCCUGAGUAGCGGCGAGCGAAACGGAAUCUAGCCCAAACCAAGAGGCUUGCCUCUUGGGGUUGUAGGACAUUCUAUACGGAGUUACAAAGGAACGAGGUAGACGAAGCGACCUGGAAAGGUCCGUCGUAGAGGGUAACAACCCCGUAGUCGAAACUUCGUUCUCUCUUGAAU